UACGUAGGUGGCAAGCGUUGUCCGGAUUUAUUGGGUUUAAAGGGUGCGUAGGCGGUCCUAUAAGUCAGUGGUGAAAUACGGCAGCUCAACUGUCGAGGUGCCAUUGAUACUGCAGGACUAGAGUACUGAUGAGGUAGGCGGAAUGGACGGUGUAGCGGUGAAAUGCUUAGAUAUCGUCCAGAACACCGAUAGCGAAGGCAGCUUACUAAGGAGUAACUGACGCUGAGGCACGAAAGUGUGGGGAUCAAACAGG
rnacentral:rRNA from 1 species